ACGAUACGCGAAGAACCUUACCAGGUCUUGACAUUCCCUGCAAAGCUAUGGAGACAUAGUGGAGGUUAUCAGGGAGACAGGUGGUGCAUGGUUGUCGUCAGCUCGUGUCGUGAGAUGUUGGGUUAAGUCCCGCAACGAGCGCAACCCUUAUUGCUAGUUACCAUCAUUAAGUUGGGGACUCUAGCGAGACUGCCAGUGAUAAACUGGAGGAAGGUGGGGAUGACGUCAAAUCAUCAUGCCCCUUAUGACCUGGGCUACAAACGUGAUACAAUGGCUGAAACAAAGGGCAGCGAAGGAGCGAUCUGGAGCGAAACCCAAAAAAGCAGUCUCAGUUCGGAUUGAAGUCUGCAACUCGACUUCAUGAAGUCGGAAUCGCUAGUAAUCGCGGAUCAGAACGCCGCGGUGAAUACGUUCUCGGGGUUU
rnacentral:rRNA from 1 species